GCUACCUCAGUGACUUGCAAGCAACUCACUGUACUUUAGUAUCGAACUAUCCAAAUUUUUAAUUCGAUGAUGAAAGAUUUUUGAGUAUAGUCAAGUACUUGAGAAGUCUAAGUACGAGUCAAGAUGAGAUUAACCGCUUCAAGUAGAAUUGAAGAUGAUGCAUCACUAUAUUUUCAUUCAGCAAAACUCUAGCUAGAGUAGUCCUAGUGAGAAGUCAUAAGAUUUUUUAAGGUUGAGACACAAUAUGGAUCACUCAUCUAGGA
rnacentral:lncRNA from 1 species